rnacentral:tRNA from 1 species
GGUGCGUUAGUUCAGUAGGUUAGAAUAUCUGCAUGUCACGCAGGGGUUCACGAGUUCGAGUCUCGUACGCACCG